rnacentral:rRNA from 1 species
GAUGAACGCUAGCGGCAGGCUUAAUACAUGCAAGUCAAGGGGGUAGCAAUACAACCGGCGCACGGGUGAGUAACACGUACACAACAUACCAUAUACUGAGGUAUAGCUUCGGGAAACUGAAGGUAAUCCCUCAUAGUAUUGUGAAAGGGCAUCUUUUUACAAUUAAAGUUUCGACGGUAUAUGAUUGGUGUGCGUUUGAUUAGUUAGUUGGUAGGGUAACGGCCUACCAAGCCGACGAUCCAUAGCUGGUUUGAGAGGAUGAUCAGCAACACUGGGACUGAGACACGGCCCAGACUCCUACGGGAGGCAGCAGUGGGGAAUCUUAGACAAUGGGGGAAACCCUGAUCUAGCCAUGCCGCGUGGACGAUGAAGGCCUUAGGGUUGUAAAGUCCUUUCAGCUGGGAAGAUAAUGACGGUACCAGCAGAAGAAGCCCCGGCUAACUCCGUG